UACGGGGGGGGCAAGCGUUGUUCGGAAUUACUGGGCGUAAAGGGCUCGUAGGUGGCCAACUAAGUCAGACGUGAGAUCCCUCGGCUUAACCGGGGAACUGCGUCUGAUACUGGAUGGCUUGAGUUUGGGAGAGGGAUGCGGAAUUCCAGGUGUAGCGGUGAAAUGCGUAGAUAUCUGGAGGAACACCGGUGGCGAAGGCGGCAUCCUGGACCAACACUGACACUGAGGAGCGAAAGCCAGGGGAGCAAACGGG
rnacentral:rRNA from 1 species